rnacentral:rRNA from 1 species
AACUCUGGAGAAAUUCAGGUUAAUACUGCAUAAUCCCGCAAGGGGAAAGGUGGCCUCAAGCUACCGCACAAGGAUGAGCCUAUGGUCUAUUAGCUAGUUGGUGAGGUAAAGGCUUACCAAGGCGAAGAUGGAUAACCGGCCUGAGAGGGUGUACGGUCACACUGGAACUGAGACACGGUCCAGACUCCUACGGGAGGCAGCAGUGGGGAAUAUUGCACAAUGGGCGAAAGCCUGAUGCAGCGACGCCGCGUGGAGGAUGAAGGUUUUCGGAUUGUAAACUCCUGUUAAGUGGGAAGAAAGACUCAUACCUAAUACGUAUGGGGGAUGACGGUACCACUAGAGAAAGCACCGGCAAACUUCGUGCCAGCAGCCGCGGUAAUACGAAGGGUGCUAGCGUUAUUCGGAAUGACUGGGCGUAAAGAGCGUACAGGCGGUUUGUUAAGUCAACUGUUAAAUCACUCAGCUUAACUGGGUAUCUGCAGAUGAAACUGGCGAACUAGAGUGCAGGAGAGAAAGGUAGAAU